GAUGAACGCUGGCGGCGUGCCUAAUACAUGCAAGUCGAGCGAACAGACGAGGAGCUUGCUCCUCUGACGUUAGCGGCGGACGGGUGAGUAACACGUGGAUAACCUACCUAUAAGACUGGGAUAACUUCGGGAAACCGGAGCUAAUACCGGAUAAUAUAUUGAACCGCAUGGUUCAAUAGUGAAAGACGGUUUUGCUGUCACUUAUAGAUGGAUCCGCGCCGCAUUAGCUAGUUGGUAAGGUAACGGCUUACCAAGGCAACGAUGCGUAGCCGACCUGAGAGGGUGAGCGGCCACACGGGAACUGAGACACGGCCAAGACUCCGAGGGGGGGAAGCAGUAGGGAAUCUUCCGCAAGGGGGGAGAGCCGGAUGGGGAACCGCGGGGUGAGGGAUGAAGGUCUUCGGAUGGGAAACUUCUGUUAUUAGGAAAGAAAAAAUGUGUAAGUAACUAUGACCGUCUUGACGGUACCUAAUAAAAAAGCCCCGGCUAACUACGUG
rnacentral:rRNA from 1 species